rnacentral:rRNA from 1 species
UUGUUGGUAAGGUAAAAGCUUACCAAGGCUUCGAUCAGUAGCUGGUCUGAGAGGACGACCAGCCACACUGGGACUGAGACACGGCCCAGACUCCUACGGGAGGCAGCAGUGGGGAAUUUUGGACAAUGGGGGCAACCCUGAUCCAGCCAUGCCGCGUGAGUGAAGAAGGCCUUCGGGUUGUAAAGCUCUUUCAGCCGGAACGAAACGGUUACGGAUAACACCCGUGACUACUGACGGUACCGGAAGAAGAAGCACCGGCUAACUACGUGCCAGCAGCCGCGGUAAUACGUAGGGUGCGAGCGUUAAUCGGAAUUACUGGGCGUAAAGCGUGCGCAGGUGGUUUUGUAAGUCAGAUGUGAAAGCCCCGGGCUCAACCUGGGAACUGCGUUUGAAACUACAAGACUAGAGUGUGGCAGGGGGGGGUGGAAUUCCGCGUGUAGCAGUGAAAUGCGUAGAGAUGUGGAGGAACACCGAUGGCGAAGGCAGCCCCCUGGGUCAACACUGACGCUCAGGCACGAAAGCAUGGGGAGCAAACAGGAUUAGAUACCCUGGUAGUCCAUGCCCUAAACGAUGUCAACUAGUUGUCGGGCCUUUACGGGCUUGGUAACGUAGCUAACGCGUGAAGUUGACCGCCUGGGGAGUACGAUCGCAAGAUUAAAACUCAAAUGAAUUGACGGGGACCCGCACAAGCGGUGGAUUAUGUGGAUUAAUUCGAUGCAACGCGAAAAACCUUACCUACCCUUGACAUGUAUCGAAGCCCGCAGAAAAGCGGGGGUGCCCGAAAGGGAACGAUAACACAGGUGCUGCAUGGCUGUCGUCAGCUCGUGUCGUGAGAUGUUGGGUUAAGUCCCGCAACGAGCGCAACCCUUGUCAUUAAUUGCCAUCAUUUAGUUGGGCACUUUAAUGAGACUGCCGG